rnacentral:rRNA from 1 species
UACGAAGGUGGCAAGCGUUACUCGGAAUUACUAGGCGUAAAGGGCAGGUAGGUGGUCUGAUAAGUCUGUUGUGUAAGCUCCUGGCUUAACUGGGAGAGGUCAACGGAAACUAUCAGGCUUGAGUGUGGGAGAGGGUACUGGAAUUCCCGGUGUAGCGGUGAAAUGCGCAGAGAUCGGGAGGAACACCAAAGGCGAAAGCAGGUACCUGGACCAUUACUGACACUCAGCUGCGAAAGCUAGGGGAGCAAACAGGG